rnacentral:lncRNA from 1 species
AACAUGGUAUCAGAGCCAUGGUAUCCACCUUGAAACAUAAUUCUGCUGUAAUUUUUCCCGAGAAUAAUUAAUUCUUGGUUAUUCUUCACUUUACCUUUUUUAUCUUUUUUUCAUAUAAACCCUAGCCGUCAUUAGAAUUUAUUUUUAUUUUGUUCCACACCUUUGUGGUUCUUGUUUACCCCUUUGCUUUCUUUUCUAACCCUUAUUGAUAUGUUACUUAACACAUGCAGUCAUAUGCCAAUUUUCCAUGAAUCCUUUACCUUUAACCACCGUUUUUUUCCAAGAUUGAUCAUCAGUCUCUCUUGAUCUUGUUUUGGUGGCCUAAUUACCUGUUUUGUGAUCCCUUAAUUUGCGGACAUACCCCGUUUGUUAACCCUUAAUCCGCGGGCAUACCCCGUUUGUGAUCCCUUAAUCCGCGGGCAU